rnacentral:rRNA from 1 species
GAUGAACGCUGGCGGCGUGCCUAAUACAUGCAAGUCGAGCGAACAGACGAGGAGCUUGCUCCUCUGACGUUAGCGGCGGACGGGUGAGUAACACGUGGAUAACCUACCUAUAAGACUGGGAUAACUUCGGGAAACCGGAGCUAAUACCGGAUAAUAUAUUGAACCGCAUGGUUCAAUAGUGAAAGACGGUUUUGCUGUCACUUAUAGAUGGAUCCGCGCCGCAUUAGCUAGUUGGUAAGGUAACGGCUUACCAAGGCAACGAUGCGUAGCCGACCUGAGAGGGUGAUCGGCACCACUGGAAGUGGGCAACGGUCCAGACUCCUACGGGAGGAAGCAGUAGGGAAUCUUCCGCAAUGGGCGAAAGCUUGACGGAGCAACGCCGAGUGAGUGAUGAAGGUCUUCGGAUCGUAAAACUCUGUUAUUAGGGAAGAACAAAUGUGUAAGUAAAUAUGCACGUCUUGACGGUACCUAAUCAGAAAGCCACGGCUAACUACGUG